AGGCUUAUCUUGCCCGAGAGUUCAUAUCGACGGCAAGGUUUGGCACCUCGAUGUCGGCUCAUCACAUCCUGGGGGUGGAGAAGCUCCCAAGGGUUCGGCUGUUCGCCGAUUAAAGUGGUACGUGAGCUGGGUUCAGAACGUAGAUAAUACUGCGUCUCUUAGGAGUAAUUCUAAGAUGCAAAUCGACUUAUAUCGGUGGAGCCCUAAUAUGGUCCGAAUGCCAUAUGGGUAAUACCGAGGGAAGGUUGAUAAAAUGAUCGACGAGACAACAAAAGCGUAUAUUGCUGGUUUUCUCGACGGUGAUGGAAGCAUAAUGCUGCAAUUGGUGCACCGAAAAGAUUAUAAAUUCGGCUAUCAGAUUCGAGCGAGCACAUGUUUCUAUCAGAAAUCUAAAUAUAGAAACGAACUCAAGAAAUUGAAAGACAUAUUGAAGUUCGGCUAUAUUAGAGAUCGUAACGAUGGAAUUACAGAAUAUACGAUUGUUGGUAAAGAUGAGGUUAAGGAAGUUUUAGAGAUGCUUCAGCCUUACAUUUUAUUCAAAAGAAAGCAUGUUUUAGAAGCGCUUAAAAUAUUGAAUGAAAUUGGAGAUAGAAGAAAAAUGCUGAAGGACGAAUUUCUAAGGCUUGCAAGACUAGUCGACUCAUAUUCUAGUCUUAACUAUUCAAAAAAGCGAAAACAUUUUGCACAUAAUGUAGAGAAUUUUUUGAAUAAAAGAGUAGGUCAGCCCCUGUAACGACUGAAGGUUUUAUACCUGAGAUAGUUAGGCAAAGACGCUAGCUAUAACACGUCGACUCCCAGAAAUGGGAUGGAGAUAUAGUCUGUGCCACGAGUAAUCGUGGAAUAACAUGCGUAAGACAGUUCGGUCUCUAUCUGUUACAUGCGUAGGAUGUUUGCGGAGAUAUGUCCCUAGUACGAGAGGACCGGGAUAUACGAACCAAUGGUGUUCCAGUUGUCACGCCAGUGGCAUUUGCUGGGUAGCUAUGUUCGGAAAGGAUAAGCGCUGAAUGCAUAUAAGCGCGAAGCCCCCUCCAAGAUUAAACAUCCCUCCGCUUCGGCGGAAUAAGGCACCUUGUAGAUGACGAGGUUGAUAGGCUGGAGGUGUAAGGCCAGUAAUGGCUUCAGCUGACCAGUACUAAUCUGCCGAACGGCUUGACCAC
rnacentral:rRNA from 1 species